GGGAAGGUGGCUCAGUGGUAGAGUGCUUGCCUUGCAUGCAUGAGGCCCUGGGUUUGAUUCCUAGGUAUCACA
rnacentral:tRNA from 1 species